AGGAGAGUUUGAUCCUGGCUCAGGAUGAACGCUAGCUACAGGCUUAACACAUGCAAGUCGAGGGGCAGCAAAUCGAAAGCUUGCUUUUGAUGUUGGCGACCGGCGCACGGGUGAGUAACGCGUAUCCAACCUUCCCUACAGUAGGGGAUAGCCCGGCGAAAGUCGGAUUAAUACCCUAUGUUCUUCUUCGAUGACAUCUGACGAGAAGCAAAGGUUCACCGCUAUAGGAUGGGGAUGCGUCUGAUUAGCUUGUUGGCGGGGUAACGGCCCACCAAGGCUACGAUCAGUAGGGGUUCUGAGAGGAAGGUCCCCCACAUUGGUACUGAGACACGGACCAAACUCCUACGGGAGGCAGCAGUGAGGAAUAUUGGUCAAUGGGCGAGAGCCUGAACCAGCCAAGUAGCGUGCAGGAUGACUGCCCUAUGGGUUGUAAACUGCUUUUAUGCGGGAAUAAAGUCAGGCACGUGUGCCUGUUUGUAUGUACCGCAUGAAUAAGGACCGGCUAAUUCCGUGCCAGCAGCCGCGGUAAUACGGAAGGUCCGGGCGUUAUCCGGAUUUAUUGGGUUUAAAGGGAGCGCAGGCGGAAGAUUAAGCGUGACGUGAAAUGUCCCGGCUCAACCGUGGAACUGCGUCGCGAACUGGUUUUCUUGAGUGAGUACGACGUUGGCGGAAUUCGUGGUGUAGCGGUGAAAUGCUUAGAUAUCACGAAGAACCCCGAUUGCGAAGGCAGCUGACGAGUCCUUUACUGACGCUAAAGCUCGAAGGUGCGGGUAUCGAACAGGAUUAGAUACCCUGGUAGUCCCCU
rnacentral:rRNA from 1 species